ACCAGCUAACUCUGUGCCAGCAGCCGCGGUAAUACAGAGGGUGCAAGCGUUAAUCGGAUUUACUGGGCGUAAAGCGCGCGUAGGCGGCUAAUUAAGUCAAAUGUGAAAUCCCCGAGCUUAACUUGGGAAUUGCAUUCGAUACUGGUUAGCUAGAGUGUGGGAGAGGAUGGUAGAAUUCCAGGUGUAGCGGUGAAAUGCGUAGAGAUCUGGAGGAAUACCGAUGGCGAAGGCAGCCAUCUGGCCUAACACUGACGCUGAGGUGCGAAAGCAUGGGGAGCAAACAGGAUUAGAUACCCUGGUAGUCCAUGCCGUAAACGAUGUUUACUAGCCCGUUGGGGGCCUUUGAAGGCUUUAAGUUGGCGCAAGCUAACGCCGAUAAGUAGACCCGCUGGGGGAGUACGGGCGCCAAAAACUAAACUCACAUGAAUUGACG
rnacentral:rRNA from 1 species